rnacentral:rRNA from 1 species
GAUGAACGCUGGCGGCGUGCCUAAUACAUGCAAGUCGAGCGAACAGAUGAGGAGCUUGCUCCUCUGACGUUAGCGGCGGACGGGUGAGUAACACGUGGAUAACCUACCUAUAAGACUGGGAUAACUUCGGGAAACCGGAGCUAAUACCGGAUAAUAUAUUGAACCGCAUGGUUCAAUAGUGAAAGACGGUUUUGCUGUCACUUAUAGAUGGAUCCGCGCCGCAUUAGCUAGUUGGUAAGGUAACGGCUUACCAAGGCAACGAUGCGUAGCCGACCUGAGAGGGUGAUCGGCCACACUGGAACUGAGACACGGACCAGACGCCUGCGGGAGGCAGCAGUAGGGAAUCUUCCGCAAUGGGCGAAAGCCUGACGGAGCAACGCCGCGUGAGUGAUGAAGGUCUUCGGAUCGUAAAACUCUGUUAUUAGGGAAGAACAAAUGUGUAAGUAACUAUGCACGUCUUGACGGUACCUAAUCAGAAAGCCACGGCUAACUACGUG